rnacentral:misc_RNA from 1 species
AUCCGCCUCGCUUUGGUCAAGAAUGUCCAUGCUCUGGUGAAUGACAUCAGCAUUUUGAAAGAAAGUUUUGCGGCAAGUGAAACAAAAAUAUCAGAACUACAGCGGACGGUUGAUGCAUUAAACAUUCAGGUUAAUUCUCUUCAGCAGGAAAAUGGCCAGCUAAAGAAAAGUAGCCUAAUCAGUCAGGCCAAGAGCAUGGAGCUGGAAACGAAAUUUCAGAACGUUAGUGACAACGUUAGUGCUCUGCACGGACAGCUGAACGUCAUUCAAAAAGAAUCAGACGACAAAAGACAGGAAGUGUUUAACAAAACAAACGCUGUUCUCGAUGAUAUCAAAAUAGAAGUGCGAUACCUCUCGGUCACCUUGUUGGAUUUCAAGGAACGCACGGAAAUUGAAAAUGAAUCGAGAGACAAGAAAUACUCUGAACUUGAACGCCAUUCGAACACAUCAAUUGAAAGUUUGAAAGUUAAAAAUUCUUUAACAAAGGAGUUUGGUAAUCUUAAAUCAUUUGUACAGAAUCUACAGGACUCCCAAACAGAAAUAACAGAAAACCUCAACAGAACAGUUGCCAGGUUUGAUACACAGUUCACACUGUCUGAACAUACACAGCAGAAGUUCUCAUCCGCUUUAGCAUCUUUGGAAACGGCUCAAACAAAGUUGUCAAAAUCAAUCGAUGAAAACCUCAACAGAACAGUUGCCAAAUUUGAUACACAGUUCACACUGUCUGAACAUACACAGCAGAAGUUCUCAUCCGCUUUAGCGUCUUUGGAAACGGCUCAAACAAAGUUGUCAAAAUCAAUCGAUGAUAAGAGUAACCACCAUGCGUUUACAGCGGGUAUAUCAUUAGGUAACGAUGGUUGGACAGGAGACACCCUAAUGUUCCCCACGGUAAUCUACAGUGAAGGAACAGGCUACAACCCCAGUACUGGUAUCUUUACAGCGCCCUCAGCGGGGACUUAUGUGUUCUAUGUCUCUGUUCAGUCUACAUGGCGAAAAUACAUCUAUUUAGACAUAGUUUUGAAUGGAUCCAGUAAGGUCAGGGCCACGGCUAGUGGGACCAGCAUUGCCAUUUUCCAGACCGGAACCAACCUGGUUAUCUUACAUCUACAGACCGGUGACAGAGUGUGGGUCAAACGGAACGCUGGUACCGGUUACUUUAGUCAAGUUAUUCCCAUUACAACGUUCUCUGGAUUUAAACUUAACUAGAUGUGAUAAUUAUACCGUUAAUAAAGCAAAAAA